rnacentral:misc_RNA from 1 species
UGGUUCUGGCAUCGAUGAAGAACGCAGCGAAAUGCGAUAAGUAAUGUGAAUUGCAGAAUUUAGUGAAUCAUCGAAUCUUUGAACGCACAUUGCGCCCCUUGGUAUUCCGGGGGGCAUGCCUGUUCGAGCGUCAUUUCAACCCUCAAGCUUUGCUUGGUCUUGGGCGCUGCCGGAGACGGCUGGCCCUAAAAUCAGUGGCAGUGCCGGUAGGCUCUAUGCGUAGUAAUUAUCCUCGCUAUUGAGUCCUGCUGCGCGCGCGCCAACAACCCCUAAUUUUCUAUGGUUGACCUCGGAUCAGGUAGGGAUACCCGCUGA